rnacentral:rRNA from 1 species
ACGCUCGACACCUACGGGGGGCAGCAGUGGGGAAUAUUGCACAAUGGGGGAAACCCUGAUGCAGCGACGCCGCGUGAGCGAAGAAGUAUUUCGGUAUGUAAAGCUCUAUCAGCAGGGAAGAAACUGACGGUACCUGACUAAGAAGCACCGGCUAAAUACGUGCCAGAAGCCGCGGUAAUCUGAGCGGGCUGGCAAGGC